AAAUAACAUUGUUCUACGAGAUUUUGGAAAUGGCAACAGUCAACAGAGGUUGGAGAGAUGUCUCCGCCGGAGGCGACGGCGAGUUUGCUCUCUCUCUCUCGCUUCCGCCUCCCAGCAACCGUACGUGUCCGAGCUCCUCUCCUCCACACUUGAUCGUCUCCACAAGGUUACUGAACUUUGAAGGAGCCAGAGCUACUUCGCGUAGACGCUGAUCGGAUUCCAGAAGCAAAGGCAAGAGGUACCACCGCCGCAGAUACUUUGCUUGCGGGAGCUUCGGCCGGAAUCCCACUAGCAAUUGGAGGCAAAAUUUAACAUACGGCUGCUCCAGCCUUAGGCUGUUACGUGCAUUCACGGAUUCACUUCGGUGGGUGGGCCAGGAUAUACCGGGUUGUUCAAAAAAAAAAAAAAAAAAAGCAUCUGGAGUCUCUAGUUAAGUUAUACAUUUUGUCGCUCCCUAUCAAAUUGGCAUUCGCUAGGCAUGAGUGAACGAUCUUGUAUUCAGGUUCCAUAGUUUUGUGUGAGAUUGAACUUGUUGUAUUGUAAGUCUAGCAGUCAGCUAAUCUUCUUGAGGAUAAUAAGUGAAUGAAUACAUUGGUUUAGGAAUGUAGCUUUGAGGCUUCUAUAGGUUCUUGCGUACAUCUCUAUCUACGUAGAUCAUCCUCUCUUCUUUUGCAGAUUUGGCCAAGACCCGAGACUAACGUCUGUGUGCACAGAGUUUAUCGACAUUCUUGAGAAGAGGAAUAUGAACCAAGCUUUGGUGGCUCUUCUUUUGAAUUGCUUGAGAUUCCUCAGCUUAUGGACAACAAGCUACCUUGGGAGAAAAGAUAUUAAUAUCUAAUCAUUCUAAGCAACUUCUAACUGCUCUCUGCAUAAUGAAUUGUGUCGUUAUCAGAUGCUUGAGAAAACGGGAACUUUGAUGAAGCAUAUUUAUAUCGAUAAUAUCUAGUUUGUUUGUAUUCGGUGAACUAUAUGGUUAAGCUUAGCAAUCUAGGAUGCUCAAUCAAUUGUUGCUGCUCUGUAUUGCCAAAAUGUCACCGGAUUAUUGGAUACCUACGUCGAAUAGAAGUCUUUGGCGAGUGUGAAAUGCGAUUACAGUUCUUAAGAUGCCGGGAGGCAUGGCUAACUGGAAUUCUCGAGGAUCUAGACCAGAAAAAUGCUCGUGAAUAUUUUAAAAGACAUGAUAAACUGUCACAGAAUGUAUCUAUUUGAUGUAGUUAGUUAAUCAAUAUCGAGCUAUUUUUGCUGAUGAUACAUCGGGGAGUGAAGAAAAUUAGGAUGGUGGACUGCUGUUUUACCUGGGCCCAUGAAUCAAAUAACAUCGCACCUGAAGACUCUGAAGAUUAUGCUCCUAAAGAUUCACUGAAGGAGGAUCUCUAUCAAAUAUUUUGGUUCAGUGCAUGGUUGAGUUCUUUUGCAUCUCAUGUAUUUACUUUUCGAUACAGUGUUAAACUCUGCUUGACAUUUUACUUUCUUCUCAUGACAACACCAGUACAUGUGCUAUGGGGCAUGCAUGGGUUGGGCUAGACUUCUGGGGUUUGCUUCCUCCUCUUUUUGAAGAGUAAUGUUAAAGAAAAUGAGAAUGUUAUUAUUGCUCAUGAAUUGAUCACCGUCUCUGACUCCUUAGUAAGGAGUCCUUACUAAGAUACAACACAACUCGGAUGCUUCGGCUCAAUGAAUUCAAUCCCUUCCUUUCACUUUGCCGAGCUUUUGUGGAGGUUCGUUGUUGUUACAGGUGGUUUUUUCCACACUGCGCCACAUGCUUUGUCCGGUGUUAAGCCUAGUGGUGCCAGUAUCGUUAUGGAUGCCAAGAACGCAUAGGAUGGUCUAGGUCGCAUCUUAGCGGCUUCCUCCUCUCCAGAACCAUCCAAAACUAGCUAGCAAAGACCAUCAGCACCGAUGUAACGAGUGUAUCAGAGGACGGUGGCCUCCCAGUCGAAGAGAAACAAGUGGAGACGCAGAAAGAAAAAGAAGAGAACAGUCCUAUUCCCUUGCAGAUUCCUGAGACAACACCACAUGAGCCUUGAGAAUUUUCUAUAUCUUUCAUAUUGAUAUUACAUUCAAACAUCACAAAGUUGUAUUUUUCUCUGAUUUAUAUUUCCAUGUAUUAACACUCAUUCAAGAAAGAAUAUGUUUUUACCUAAA